rnacentral:rRNA from 1 species
CCUACGGGCGGCAGCAGUGGGGAAUAUUGCACAAUGGGGGAAACCCUGAUGCAGCAACGCCGCGUGAGCGAAGAAGUAUUUCGGUAUGUAAAGCUCUAUCAGCAGGGAAGAAGAAUGACGGUACCUGACUAAGAAGCACCGGCUAAAUACGUGCCAGCAGCCGCGGUAAUACGUAUGGUGCAAGCGUUAUCCGGAUUUACUGGGUGUAAAGGGAGCGCAGGCGGAAGGCUAAGUCUGAUGUGAAAGCCCGGGGCUCAACCCCGGUACUGCAUUGGAAACUGUCGUACUAGAGUGUCGGAGGGGUAAGCGGAAUUCCUAGUGUAGCGGUGAAAUGCGUAGAUAUUAGGAGGAACACCAGUGGCGAAGGCGGCUCACUGGACUGCAACUGACACUGAUGCUCGAAAGUGUGGGUAUCAAACAGGAU